rnacentral:rRNA from 1 species
UGGGGAAUAUUGGACAAUGGGCGAAAGCCUGAUCCAGCCAUGCCGCGUGUGUGAAGAAGGUCUUCGGAUUGUAAAGCACUUUAAGUUGGGAGGAAGGGCAUUAACCUAAUACGUUAGUGUUUUGACGUUACCGACAGAAUAAGCACCGGCUAACUCUGUGCCAGCAGCCGCGGUAAUACAGAGGGUGCAAGCUUUAAUCGGAAUUACUGGGCGUAAAGCGCGCGUAGGUGGUUUGUUAAGUUGGAUGUGAAAUCCCCGGGCUCAACCUGGGAACUGCAUUCAAAACUGACUGACUAGAGUAUGGUAGAGGGUGGUGGAAUUUCCUGUGUAGCGGUGAAAUGCGUAGAUAUAGGAAGGAACACCAGUGGCGAAGGCGACCACCUGGACUAAUACUGACACUGAGGUGCGAAAGCGUGGGGAGCAAACA